rnacentral:tRNA from 1 species
UCCCGUGUAGCUCAGUUGGUAAAGAAUCUGCCUACAAUGCAGGAUAUCUGGGUUCGAUUCCUGGGUUGGGAA